GGAAACACAGAGAGGGAAACAGAGAGAGGGAGAGAGCAAGAGAGAGUAGUGAUGAGGGAGAGAAUGGUUAUCAGGGAAAGAAGAAGAAACUGAAAAAGGAGAGGAGAGGCAAAGGCAAAGAGAAAAAAAGGAGUAAAGAAAAAUGGAGGAAAGUCUUAAGUAAAGUAUUAUAGGAGAAUUUGAAUGCAACCAGGAGCCUAAGUCAGUUUGCUUCUGAUAGGAACAGAGGAGGCCCUGGCCCCGCCCUUUUAUCACCCAAAUUUCUUCUUCUUCCUCUCCUUAUCGGACCUUGCAGAGAGAGGGAAAGGGCAAUCCUCCCUGAGAUAUGAACCCACACCCAAAGAGAACAACCAACACAAAAAGACAUGAAAGAGGAGGAGCACAUCAAUAAAUUCAUAUAAAAAUUCAUACAAAAAAAAAACAUUGGCAACUGAGGCUGAACAGCCCUUCACAGGAAGCCAAAGACACAGGCCCAUCGGAUUUGGAAUAUUGGAACGGGUUUGGGAUGAACGCUGGACAUUCAGGCUCAAGGAAACGGAUUAACGCUGGAUUGAGUGGCUUCCUCUUGGCCAACAGACCGCUCACAGCUCUCCUCUGACAGAUUCCAUUCAUUUAAUUCAACAAUGGCCCACACACAGGUGAAACAGGAGCCACAUGACCUCCCCAGACUGCCCUGUGUGGCCAGUGUGAAACUCAGUGGAGAUCAAAAUGGCCAAUCAGCUUGGGCAAGAUCGGCCAGACAAAAAGCCUUCUGAGUUCCGGAUAGUAUUUCAGAGUUUUUUUUUUUUCCCCCUCCGUUUCAAAUAAAUUACAACAGCAGAGAUUUGGCACCAGUACUGAUUCAUUCCUUUGUUUUGGCAUAGGUUUUUGUGAAGAUGAAAAUAUAUAAUACAUUCCUUUCAAUGUUGCAAUACUGCAAAUUAAUAUGCAUCUCCCUACUUGGACUGCCAAUUUUACCAGCUAGUUUAUCUAUUUCUGACUAUAACCUGGAAAUUUUGUUUCAAAUGUUUAAUAUUUUGCUCUAACAUAUCCCUUAUUACAUUUCUGUUACCAUUUAUUCUAUUUCAACUAUUGCACCAGGGAUGGGCUCUUCCUAUAUUCAGCUUCCUCGCAAGAUUUCUUCUCACCUUCUCACCGCAUUUCUUUUCUCACCACCGUUGGAGCAUUUUUAUUUAUUAAUUCAUUUUACCUAAAUUGCUCGCUUUUAGGGGUUUCUCGCCUGGUUUGUGCAUGAGUGUGCGUGUGUGUGUGUGUGUGUGUGUGUGUGUGUGUGUGUCGAACUGGAGUUUGGAAUCCUGCCUCCUGUGUCCACAUAACAGUCAGUAGACACCCCCACACUAUAUUGUGAGAGCUGGUUAAUCAUGACCCGAUUCUGUCAGCAGCAGGAUUGAAUUUGAGCUUGUGUUUCCAUCACACCUGGAAUACCACACAGAUUACAGAACAGGAGAGAAGAGAAAAUGAGCAUUGCUUCAUAUAAAGAGGCCUCUUGGUGUCAGGGCUGUCCUGCGCAUGGCACGUUUGGCUGUUUCAUGUGGAUUUAUGGAGCAAUCUGGCAGGCGAUGCUAAAUAAUGAAGUCCUCAGCGUUUCAUUAGAGAAGGGCAAGACUGCGUGACAGCACAAAGGUCUACUGCGAUGGAAGUUAAUUGGCAGGUCAGAAGCAAAAGAGAUCUCUCAAUUUUCAUCAAAUUCCUAUCAGCCGAGGCAGGAUGCUGGGAACUGGGUUGCCAGUUGUUGAAGUUUGAUCCCUCAUCUUUUUCCAUUUCUCUAACAUCCUUUCAUGUUGAUGUUGAGUAUUUUAUAUUUGGAGAGUUAUGCUUCGUUCUGGCAAGCCUGAAGAAAAGUGCGACAAUGAAGUGUGCGUGUGUGCACGUGAUUUCUUUUUUAAUGCUGUGGCAACCUGGCAUGAAUAACUAAUGUUAUGCUAAUUAGUUUUGGUAAAAUUGUUGCAAUUCUUUCAGGACAAGCAGGAAUCAACAUUAUUUAACAGAUUUUAAACAUAUACAGGAACAUUGAUGUAAAAAUGUUUUAGUGAGUUAGUAAGCCCAGGUGUGUGUGCUUCUCCACAGGCUACAGCACUUUGUCAUAAUGUCCUGAAUCACCCUGUUGGCUGCACAGGCCCUGGUUGCCAUGGUGAUGGUUCAAAUGUUUCAAAUUUGAACUGACACUCCUCAACAGUCACUGACUAACUGUUUUUCCUGAGCUUCUAUUUGAAUGUGAUUUCAAAUAUCAUUUAUGGAUUCUUUUUUUUUAAUCGGGCAUCUUCACGACAACCUCCUGCCAGAUGAAGAUUGUAUUCAUUCAUUGCCAGAUUUAUAGCCCACUUUUCUUAUAACAGUGUAUGGUACAAUCCAUUACAUAAGUAUAAAUAUUCAUUAUGAAUCUCUGGUUUACCGAGCUCCUCAUUUUGAAAUUGAUUCUGUUGUAAUGCCUAAAUGACUGGAUAAAGCCUGACUGUCUGUCCUGGGCUGACAGGAAAAUCAGACUCACUGAACAUCGCUCUGUGUGUGGCUCCCUUGACCCUUUUUAACUGUCCUGUUUUUAAAAUUCCUUUUGGGGCAGAAAUAUUACAGCUAUCGCUGUGUAAAGACAGGCUAGCUGCUAAGUGAUGUUUACUUUGUUUAUAAUACUAAUUGUAGGUUUGAUACCCUAACUUCACACUUAGUGAUUAUAAACGAGAUUCUAAUUUUAAGAUUUCAAUGGUCAGGUAAAAACUAUUUUUUUCUGUUAUUGAUGGCUCAGAAUAGGGGUUCAAUAAACCUGGUUAAAAAAAAAUUAUUUGAAAUAAAUUCACCAUUAACUG